AAAAGACCAAAUUGAAAUGAAAAAAAGAUAAAGGACCAAACUGUUACCUAAAAUUAAGUUAAGGGACUAAAAAUGUAAUUUUGCCAAAAAGAUAUUAAUUACUUAGUUGAGUGCAUGGAUUUUCUUGGCUCUGGACGACUCUGAAUGCAAAGAGGCACAGCUUCACACCUUCACCCUUCACAUUUGCAUGAGGUCAUAUGUUGUUUGGUAUGCGGAAAGGUCACUUAACUAUAUGUCAUCCUAGUUUCCACAAACACACAUCUGCCCUUUCUCACGUAUAUUUCUUUUGUCCUAUUAAGGAAUCUCUGUUAGCUCCCAUGUAUCUUAUCUUACAUAGUGUCCAUAUGUUUAUUUUAAUUCAUAAAAUAAUUUAUUAUGCUUUUCACAAAAGGAACCACACAAAUCAGGAAUACACUUUAAAAACAACAGGAACACAUUUAAUUUUAUGCUAAUAUUAAUUAAGAGAUGACCAUAGUAUUCAUUUAUGUUUAUGUUUGUGCGUGUUCAAACAGUAUUCAUUUAUGUUUGUGACUAUAGUAGACUUUUCUAUUUUUAUAUAAACUAGCUGGAUGAGCAGUAACAUGCUUGUCUCUAUUUCAUUAUUACUAUUCUUUUAAGAAGAUAAAAUAAAAUUAUACUACCUCCGUUUUUAAAUAUAGGAGCCUUUUGCUAAAAUUGUAGAGAUUAAGAAAGUUGGUUGUAGUAUUAAAUUUGUAUAUAAUUACUAUUGUUUUUACAAUUUUAUCCUUAAGAGAGAGAGUAAAUUUAUGUUUUCAAUAUAAUAUUUAUUGUUGAUUGAAGAAAAAGUGCAAAAUAAAUAAGGGUACGUUGGUAAAGAAAUAAUUAAUGUACUUGGAAACAUCAAAGGGGUCUUAUAAAAAGGGACAAAUUAUUUUUUCAAAAGAGUCUUAUAAUUAGGGACGGAGGUAGUAUUAUAAAAAAACACUUCUUAAUAUAAGUUGAGUCAGGAAGACAAUGCUAAAUCAAAAUAUUGCAAAGUUAAGGUAAUGGAACGUAUAAAGAAGAGAAAAUACAAAUUUCAGAUUAUGUUAUAGCUCCCAAGCACAUUAUUGGAUUAGCCACCAUGAAUGGUAAUCAACCGAGAAAAUAUUGUAUUUCGCUUUCAACCAUAUCAAAAUAUUGGUGGUUUAAUUUUGUCAAACAAUUGAUGCAGAUAAUACUUCUUAUGCUUAAAAAUUUGACUGUUUCGUUCUUUACAUAAUUGAAUGAUAAUGUUUUGAUGAACCUCCAAGAUGACCAAAUUGAUAUGUGAUGAGGGUUGGAUUUGUCAUAACAUACCCUAGCAAAUUGAAACCAAAAUCCAAAUAGAACUGAAAAAAAAUUAUAGUGCAAGAACAAAUGAUUAUUGUCCCUGUUUGAUCCACAACUAUCCGCGCAUAAUUGAUGUUGAUCCUAAAGUAGACCUUGCCACAAAAAAUUAUCAGCUAUAACAAUGUGAUUUCGAAAAAGACGUCAACAAAGAGAUUGACUUUUAAAGGAAUUGUCUUGUGUCAAAUGAUGUCAAAGAUUUUAGAGUUGUAAUAUUUUCCAAAACCG
rnacentral:lncRNA from 1 species